rnacentral:lncRNA from 1 species
GUAGGCUGGGAGUGAAGGCUGUUGAAGUGUUGGUUUAACCUUGAGGUAGGCUGGAGUGGAGAAAGACUGUUGAAGUGUUGGUUUAACCUUAGGGUAGGCUGGAGUGGGAAGACUGUUAAGUGUUGGUUUAACCUUAGAGGUAGGCUGGAGAGGAGAAGACUGUUGAAGUGUUGGUUUAACCUUAGAGGUAGGCUGGUGGA